rnacentral:rRNA from 1 species
UACGAAGGGGGCUAGCGUUGCUCGGAAUCACUGGGCGUAAAGCGCACGUAGGCGGAUUGCUAAGUCAGGGGUGAAAUCCUGGAGCUCAACUCCAGAACUGCCUUUGAUACUGGCGAUCUUGAGUCCGGGAGAGGUGAGUGGAACUGCGAGUGUAGAGGUGAAAUUCGUAGAUAUUCGCAAGAACACCAGUGGCGAAGGCGGCUCACUGGCCCGAUACUGACGCUGAGGCACGAAAGCGUGGGGAGCAACAGG